ACUUGUGGAUUUUUCGGGAGAGAGGGUGCAAAGCGGGUUUGUAUUUUUAAAGGGCUUCGCCGCCCCCCUCGGGGCACUGUGAGUCGCCCAGUCUGAGUCCGAGGACCGGAGACGUGGCAUUCUCGCCUGAGGACUGAAAAGAAUCCUUCCAAACAAGCUUUGGUUUCAUUUUCCAACGCCCUGGCCUGGGAAUCCUGCGGCCCAAAGACGUGGCCUGGAGCCGGGGAUUUGGGGGGCUUCGGAGGACGGAAGGGGCUCAAGAAUCUGGCUCCUACCCUAGCUUCCCCCAACCCCAAAAUAACCUACAAAGAAAACCUUCACACCGAGGGGCGCCUCCCCCAGCGCUGGCAGCUUGGAUUCCUGAUUCCGGGAGGCCGGGGCACUCCUAGAGCUGCCGAUCACGCCAAAGCCACCGAUUCCCGGGUGCCCGCCCAAUGCCCCGCGCCGCGAGCUGCUGACCCCUUGGCCACCAGCUCCCACCCCACCCCCCGGCUUUCCUCUCCAGCCUUCCUCCACAACUUUGCUAAAGGCAGCACUUCAGGUCAUGCCCCACUUUGGGGAAGUCGAGGUGGAGCCCCCAGGACACCCUCGCUCUGGCAGAGAAGCUGGCUCGGCCAUCUGCGAGCUCCGCUGCGUUCUCCCUACUUUCUCCCCCUCUUAAAUAUAGUUAAAAUGGCUGAAUUCCGGCUUUUAAUUAAAAACAGCCCAUAAUCGAAAACGUCUCGGCGUUCGGGCUCCCCCGCCGCCUACAGGGAACCGAGAAAGAACCGAUGCCCCGGGGCCAGGCUGGGCGGGCAGGAGCUGGGCUGCG